rnacentral:rRNA from 1 species
UACGAAGGGGGCUAGCGUUGCUCGGAAUUACUGGGCGUAAAGCGCACGUAGGCGGAUUGCUAAGUCAGGGGUGAAAUCCUGGAGCUCAACUCCAGAACUGCCUUUGAUACUGAGGAUCUUGAGUAUGGGAGAGGUGAGUGGAACUGCGAGUGUAGAGGUGAAAUUCGUAGAUAUUCGCAAGAACACCAGUGGCGAAGGCGGUCCCCUGGGCCGGAACUGACGCUGAGGCGCGAAAGCGUGGGUAGCAAACGGGG